CCUACGGGAGGCAGCAGUGAGGAAUAUUGGUCAAUGGACGAGAGUCUGAACCAGCCAAGUAGCGUGAAGGAUGAAGGUCCUACGGAUUGUAAACUUCUUUUAUAAGGGAAUAAACCCUCCCACGUGUGGGAGCUUGUAUGUACCUUAUGAAUAAGCAUCGGCUAACUCCGUGCCAGCAGCCGCGGUAAUACGGAGGAUCCGAGCGUUAUCCGGAUUUAUUGGGUUUAAAGGGAGCGUAGGCGGAUUGUUAAGUCAGUUGUGAAAGUUUGCGGCUCAACCGCAAAAUUGCAGUUGAUACUGGCAGUCUUGAGUGCAGUAGAGGUGGGCGGAAUUCGUGGUGUAGCGGUGAAAUGCGUAGAUAUUAGGAGGAACACUCGUGGCGAAGGCGGGUUCCUGGACAUUAACUGACGCUGAGGCACGAAGG
rnacentral:rRNA from 1 species